rnacentral:rRNA from 1 species
AUUGAACGCUGGCGGCAGGCCUAACACAUGCAAGUCGAGCGGAAGAAGGGAGCUUGCUCCUGGAUUCAGCGGCGGACGGGUGAGUAAUGCCUAGGAACCUGCCUGGUAGUGGGGGAUAACGUCCGGAAACGGGCGCUAAUACCGCAUACGUCCUGAGGGAGAAAGUGGGGGAUCUUGGGACCUCACGCUAUCAGAUGAGCCUAUGUCGGAUUAGCUAGUUGGUGGGGUAAAGGCCUACCAAGGCGACGAUCCGUAACUGGUCUGAGAGGAUGAUCAGUCACACUGGAACUGAGACACGGUCCAGACUCCUACGGGAGGCAGCAGUGGGGAAUAUUGGACAAUGGGCGAAAGCCUGAUCCAGCCAUGCCGCGUGUGUGAAGAAGGUCUUCGGGUUGUAAAGCACUUUAAGUUGGGAAGAAGGGCAGUAAGUUAAUACCUUGCUGUUUUGACGUUACCAACAGAAUAAGCACCGGCUAACUUCGUG